rfam:Stegodyphus mimosarum contig81804, whole genome shotgun sequence.
AAAAAGGCCCUUUUCAGGGCCAUACAAAUAAUUUAAUAAGAUUCG